GCAAGUCGAACGCGAACGUUCCUUCGGGAACAAGUAGAGUGGCGGACGGGUGAGUAACGCGUAGGAAUAUACCUAGUAGUGGGGGAUAACAUGAAGAAAUUCAUGCUAAUACCGCAUAUGUCUUACGAGAUAAAGAGGGCCUCUUCUUGAAAGCUCUCGCUAUUAGAUUAGCCUGCGUCGGAUUAGCUUGUUGGUGGGGUAAUGGCCCACCAAGGCGACGAUCCGUAGCUGGUCUGAGAGGAUGAUC
rnacentral:rRNA from 1 species